GUGGGUAUAACUCAGUGGUAGAGUGCAUGCUUAGCAUGCACGAGGUCCUGGGUUCAAUCCUCAGUACCUCCA
rnacentral:tRNA from 1 species